GAUGAACGCUGGCGGCGUGCCUAAUACAUGCAAGUCGAGCGAACAGACGAGGAGCUUGCUCCUCUGACGUUAGCGGCGGACGGGUGAGUAACACGUGGAUAACCUACCUAUAAGACUGGGAUAACUUCGGGAAACCGGAGCUAAUACCGGAUAACAUGUUGAACCGCAUGGUUCAACAGUGAAAGACGGUUUUGCUGUCACUUAUAGAUGGAUCCGCGCCGCAUUAGCUAGUUGGUAAGGUAACGGCUUACCAAGGCAACGAUGCGUAGCCGACCUGAGAGGGUGAUCGGCCACACUGGAACUGAGACACGGUCCAGACUCCUGCGGGAGGCAGCAGUAGGGAAUCUUCCGCAAUGGGCGAAAGCCUGACGGAGCAACGCCGCGUGAGUGAAGAAGGUCUUCGGAUCGUAACACUCUGUUAUUAGGGAAGAACAAAUGUGUAAGUCACUGUGCACGUAUUGACGGUAACUCAUCAGAAAGCCACGGCUAACUACGUG
rnacentral:rRNA from 1 species